rnacentral:lncRNA from 1 species
CAAUCCUGGUUUCUACUAGCCACCAUUUAAAGGAGACUUGUGAUAAGACUUCCUUAGGUUGCAUAUUACAGAAGACUAAUUUAGGAAACAGGCAUGGUGCAGAGGCAGGGUUUUGGAGCCACGUUUCGUUACCUGCUACCACCCCAAAUACCACAGAUUAUCUAGGCCAAGCCCUUGGACUUCUGCUUGCAUAUCUUCCCCUUCAAUCUGUCAUAGUGCCUGGGGCCAUUACCAAAAUGAAGGCAUCAGGUGCCCCCAGUGGGACUCUUCUUGCUGAACAUGAAAAUCUCCAGUCUCCGUGAGCUGAGCUGAUCACCUUGCACACCUGUUAUUGUUAAGGGAAGAAACAGGCCCUUUUAUGGCUCAGGUUGUUUGCUCCAUCCUGGCACCUGUAUCAGGACAGCAACACCAUGCCCUGCAAGUGUCCUUUUGCUCUGCUGCCUGUGCAGACUCAGGGCAGCUGUCACAAGGAUAAAGAUCUGCGUUUUGUUAAAUCAGUCAAGGAGCCUUUGAAGAUAUCUUCUAACUCCAGACAUAAGGAAGUAUGAGAGCAGGCAAUGGUCUCCCAGAAGUCCUGCAUCAGAUGUGGCUUGGAUGUCCUAGGAGGUCUCAAAGGGUGUUAGAGAUGUCUGAAAUACUAUACAUCUCACUCCAACAGAAAAAGUCCAAACCCUUCUGCUUGAGACAAAGAAAUGGCAUUGUAGCAUCUGUGAAGUGCCUUUUUUAACCAUUUGCCAUCCUGCAUAGUAUCAGUAAUAUUUUUCUUG